ensembl:snRNA U1 U1 spliceosomal RNA
AGUCGUCCUGACAAGGGGAGGUCACGUGCUGUCGGUGGUCUGCUCAGGGGCGAGGCUCUGCCGUUGCCCUUCGGGAGGGUUGACCCCUGCGACCUCCCCAAAUGCGAGACACUCGGCUGUAUAAUUCGCGGUAGUGGGGGACUGCGUUCGCGCUAUCGCCCG